AUUGAACGCUGGCAGCAGGCCUAACACAUGCAAGUCGAGCGGAUGAAGGGAGCUUGCUCCUGGAUUCAGCGGCGGACGGGUGAGUAAUGCCUAGGAAUCUGCCUGGUAGUGGGGGAUAACGUCCGGAAACGGGCGCUAAUACCGCAUACGUCCUGAGGGAGAAAGUGGGGGAUCUUCGGACCUCACGCUAUCAAAUGAGCCUAGGUCGGAUUAGCUAGUUGGUGGGGUAAAGGCCUACCAAGGCGACGAUCCGUAACUGGUCUGAGAGGAUGAUCAGUCACACUGGAACUGAGACACGGUCCAGACUCCUACGGGAGGCAGCAGUGGGGAAUAUUGGACAAUGGGCGAAAGCCUGAUCCAGCCAUGCCGCGUGUGUGAAGAAGGUCUUCGGAUUGUAAAGCACUUUAAGUUGGGAGGAAGGGCAGUAAGUUAAUACCUUGCUGUUUUGACGUUACCAACAGAAUAAGCACCGGCUAACUUCGUG
rnacentral:rRNA from 1 species